rnacentral:rRNA from 1 species
GAAAUUGAAAGGCGGGUUCGGUUGUCAAUUAAGGAUGGACCCGCGUCGCAUUAGCUAGUUGGUGAGGUAACGGCUCACCAAGGCAACGAUGCGUAGCCGACCUGAGAGGGUGAUCGGCCACACUGGGAAUGAGACACGGCCCAGACUCCUACGGGAGGCAGCAGUAGGGAAUCUUCCGCAAUGGACGAAAGUCUGAGCGGAGCAACGCCGCGUGAUGUGAUGAAGGCUUUCGGGUCGUAAAACUCUGUUGUUAGGGAAGAAGCAAGUGCUAGUUGAAUAAGCUGGCACCUGACGUA